AUCUAUUUGGAAAAAAUUUUGGGUUCUUGGUUUUUAGUUAAAAUUUAGAAUUGACAAGAAUGGCUUAAGUUUAGAUGCUAUCAAGUUCUUACCAACUGAUUUUUCUUUGUGCUAUGUAAUUUUUUUGUGCUGAACUAACAAUCGGAGGCAAGAAAUGUUGCACCCAACUUUUUCUAACAAUGUGUUCGGAAUUAAUACCCACCCACACAAAGAUUUAUUUAUAUGCAUGUCGGAGCAGAUCCUGGGUUAUGGAGUUUAGCCCUUUUGAGUCCAAAGCUCCUGGGUUCUAUUGAAUCAUACCUUCUAACUCUACAUCUGCCCCUACAUUUAACAUAUGGAGUUUUGAUGUCUCAAUUUUGUGUACUUGAAGUUGUAGUUUAACAGCGUCGAGUGAACACCUUGUAUGUUUGUGUUAACAGAGAUCUGGCCUAAUUUACUGAUUAGGCAUAUAGUGAAAGCUUUAGUUCGGAUGAAACCUGCAUCUUCUGCUUGCUUAUGUAAGAUACUAGCUAGAAAGAGUUCCAGCUAGCAAUGGACAACAAGUGGCUAAGCAGUUCAAAUGCAUCUAGUACAAAAGAUUUCAUUGGCUAUUGCUUGUUAAAAAGGCAAUAUUUGCAUUGGAAUUCAUGUCGAUUCUUCAAGUUUAUUUGAACUUUCUUGUUGAAUUAUCCAACAAAUGACAAAAUAGGGAUUGUUAUUUUCCUUGGCCUUUCUUGAGCUUUCUGACAAAAGUUUCAACAUGUAGUUAGGGAUAAUUAUUUUUUCAGGAAUUUCAUUUUUGUAUUCUCAUAUUUUAUCUUGAAUUUCUCUAAGCCAUUUGAUAAUCUACAGGAA
rnacentral:lncRNA from 1 species